GGUCGUGACUGCGUGCCUUUUGAAGAAUGAGCCUGCGAGUUAGCGGUGUGUAGCGAGGUUAACCCGUGUGGGGAAGCCGUAGCGAAAGCGAGUCCGAAUAGGGCGAUUGAGUUGCACGCUCUAGACCCGAAGCGGAGUGAUCUAGCCAUGGGCAGGUUGAAGCGGAGGUAAGACUUCGUGGAGGACCGAACCCACCAGGGUUGAAAACCUGGGGGAUGACCUGUGGUUAGGGGUGAAAGGCCAAUCAAACUCCGUGAUAGCUGGUUCUCCCCGAAAUGCAUUUAGGUGCAGCGUCGUGUGUUUCUUGCCGGAGGUAGAGCACUGGAUAGGCGAUGGGCCCUACCGGGUUACUGACCUUAGCCAAACUCCGAAUGCCGGUAAGUGAGAGCACGGCAGUGAGACUGUGGGGGAUAAGCUCCAUGGUCGAGAGGGAAACAGCCCAGAGCAUCGACUAAGGCCCCUAAGCGUACGCUAAGUGGGAAAGGAUGUGGAGUCGCAGAGACAACCAGGAGGUUGGCUUAGAAGCAGCCACCCUUGAAAGAGUGCGUAAUAGCUCACUGGUCAAGUGAUUCCGCGCCGACAAUGUAGCGGGGCUCAAGCGUACCGCCGAAGUCGUGUCAUUGCAGCAAUAGGGCCAACGCCUGCUGUGAUGGGUAGGGGAGCGUCGUGUGCCGGGUGAAGCAGCAGCGGAAGCUAGUUGUGGACGGUUCACGAGUGAGAAUGCAGGCAUGAGUAGCGAUACACACGUGAGAAACGUGUGCGCCGAUUGACUAAGGGUUCCUGGGUCAAGCUGAUCUGCCCAGGGUAAGUCGGGACCUAAGGCGAGGCCGACAGGCGUAGUCGAUGGACAACCGGUUGAUAUUCCGGUACCCGCUUUGAAACGCCCAAUAUCGAAUCAGGCGAUGCUAAGUCCGUGAAGCCGUUCCGGACCCUUCGGGGAAAGGAAAGUGGUGGAGCCGACGAACCAGACUUGUAGUAGGUAAGCGAUGGGGUGACGCAGGAAGGUAGUCCAGCCCGGGCGGUGGUAGUCCCGGGGUAAGGGUGUAGGCCGAGGGGUAGGCAAAUCCGUCCCUCAUUAAGGCUGAGACCUGAUGCCGAGCCGAUUGUGGUGAAGUGGAUGAUCCUAUGCUGUCGAGAAAAGCCUCUAGCGAGUUUCAUGGCGGCCCGUACCCUAAACCGACUCAGGUGGUCAGGUAGAGAAUACCGAGGCGUUCGGGUGAACUAUGGUUAAGGAACUCGGCAAAAUGCCCCCGUAACUUCGGGAGAAGGGGGGCCAUCACUGGUGAUAGCACUUGCUGCUUGAGCUGGGGGUGGCCGCAGAGACCAGCGAGAAGCGACUGUUUACUAAAAACACAGGUCCGUGCGAAGCCGUAAGGCGAUGUAUACGGACUGACGCCUGCCCGGUGCUGGAACGUUAAGGGGACCGGUUAGUGACCUUUCGGGGUUGCGAAGCUGAGAACUUAAGCGCCAGUAAACGGCGGUGGUAACUAUAACCAUCCUAAGGUAGCGAAAUUCCUUGUCGGGUAAGUUCCGACCUGCACGAAUGGCGUAACGACUUCUCGACUGUCUCAACCAUAGGCCCGGUGAAAUUGCACUACGAGUAAAGAUGCUCGUUUCGCGCAGCAGGACGGAAAGACCCCGGGACCUUUACUACAGUUUGAUAUUGGUGUUCGGUUCGGCUUGUGUAGGAUAGGUGGGAGACUUUGAAACCCCAACGCCAGUUGGGGUGGAGUCGCCGUUGAAAUACCACUCUGGUCGUGCUGGAUGUCUAACCUCGGUCCGUGAUCCGGAUCAGGGACAGUGUCUGAUGGGUAGUUUAACUGGGGCGGUUGCCUCCCAAAGGGUAACGGAGGCGCCCAAAGGUUCCCUCAGCCUGGUUGGCAAUCAGGUGUUGAGUGUAAGUGCACAAGGGAGCUUGACUGUGAGACCGACGGGUCGAGCAGGGACGAAAGUCGGGACUAGUGAUCCGGCGGUGGCUUGUGGAAGCGCCGUCGCUCAACGGAUAAAAGGUACCCCGGGGAUAACAGGCUGAUCUUCCCCAAGAGUCCAUAUCGACGGGAUGGUUUGGCACCUCGAUGUCGGCUCGUCGCAUCCUGGGGCUGGAGUCGGUCCCAAGGGUUGGGCUGUUCGCCCAUUAAAGCGGUACGCGAGCUGGGUUUAGAACGUCGUGAGACAGUUCGGUCCCUAUCCGCUGUGCGCGUAGGAAUAUUGAGAAGGGCUGUCCCUAGUACGAGAGGACCGGGACGGACGAACCUCUGGUGUGCCAGUUGUCCUGCCAAGGGCAUGGCUGGUUGGCUACGUUCGGGAGGGAUAACCGCUGAAAGCAUCUAAGCGGGAAGCCUGCUUCAAGAUGAGUAUUCCCACCUCCUUGA
rnacentral:rRNA from 1 species